rnacentral:rRNA from 1 species
AUACGGAGGGUCCGAGCGUUAUCCGGAAUCAUUGGGUUUAAAGGGUCCGUAGGCGGGAAUCUAAGUCAGUGGUGAAAUCUUGCAGCUCAACUGUAAAAUUGCCAUUGAUACUGGAUUUCUUGAAUUAGUGUGAAGUGGUUAGAAUGUGUAGUGUAGCGGUGAAAUGCAUAGAUAUUAAACAGAAUACCAAUUGCGAAGGCAGAUCACUAACACUAUAUUGACGCUGAGGGACGAAAGCGUGGGGAGCGAACAGGAUUAGAAACCCGAGUAGUCC